rnacentral:rRNA from 1 species
GAUGAACGCUGGCGGCGUGCCUAAUACAUGCAAGUCGAGCGAAUGGAUUAAGAGCUUGCUCUUAUGAAGUUAGCGGCGGACGGGUGAGUAACACGUGGGUAACCUGCCCAUAAGACUGGGAUAACUCCGGGAAACCGGGGCGAAUACCGGAUAACAUUUUGAACCGCAUGGUUCGAAAUGGAAAGGCGGCUUCGGCUGUCACUUAUGGAGGGACCCGCGUCGCAUUAGCUAGUUGGUGAGGUAACGGCUCACCAAGGCAACGAUGCGUAGCCGACCUGAGAGGGUGAUCGGCCACACUGGGACUGAGACACGGCCCAGACUCCUACGGGAGGCAGCAGUAGGGAAUCUUCCGCAAUGGACGAAAGUCUGACGGAGCAACGCCGCGUGAGUGAUGAAGGCUUUCGGGUCGUAAAACUCUGUUGUUAGGGAAGAACAAGUGCUAGUUGAAUAAGCUGGCACCUUGACGGUACCUAACCAGAAAGCCACGGCUAACUACGUGCCAGCCGCCGCGGUAA